rnacentral:rRNA from 1 species
AGAGUUUGAUCAUGGCUCAGGAUGGACGCUAGCUACAGGCUUAACACAUGCAAGUCGAGGGGAAACGACAUCGAAAGCUUGCUUUGAUGGGCGUCGACCGGCGCACGGGUGAGUAACGCGUAUCCAACCUGCCCACCACUUGGGGAUAACCUUGCGAAAGUAAGACUAAUACCCAAUGACGUCUCUAGAAGACAUCUGAAGGAGAUUAAAGAUUAUCGGUGAUGGAUGGGGAUGCGUCUGAUUAGCUUGUUGGCGGGGUAACGGCCACCAAGGCGACGAUCAGUAGGGGUUCUGGAGAGGAAGGUCCCCACAUUGGAACUGAGACGCGGUCCAACUCCUACGGGAGGCA